rnacentral:rRNA from 1 species
CCUACGGGAGGCUGCAGUGGGGAAUAUUGGACAAUGGGCGAAAGCCUGAUCCAGCCAUGCCGCGUGUGUGAAGAAGGCCUUCGGGUUGUAAAGCACUUUCAGUGGGGAAGAAAGCCUUGGGGCUAAUACCCUCGAGGAAGGACAUCACCCACAGAAGAAGCACCGGCUAACUCCGUGCCAGCAGCCGCGGUAAUACGGAGGGUGCGAGCGUUAAUCGGAAUUACUGGGCGUAAAGCGCGCGUAGGCGGUCUGAUAAGCCGGUUGUGAAAGCCCCGGGCUCAACCUGGGAACGGCAUCCGGAACUGUCAGGCUAGAGUGCAGGAGAGGAAGGUAGAAUUCCCGGUGUAGCGGUGAAAUGCGUAGAGAUCGGGAGGAAUACCAGUGGCGAAGGCGGCCUUCUGGACUGACACUGACGCUGAGGUGCGAAAGCGUGGGUAGCAAACAGGAUUAUAUACCCCAGUAGUC